rnacentral:rRNA from 1 species
CGAACCCGCAGCGAGCUGGUUCUCCGCGAAAUACGUUGAGGCGUAGCGUCUCGUGCUCCAGCAGGGGGGUAAAGCCAUCAUUUCGGUGCGGGCUGCGAGAGCGGUACCAAAGCGAGAUGAACUCUGAAUACCCUGUGUGUAGCGAGGCAGUCAGACUGUGGGGGAUAAGCUCCGUCGUCAAGAGGGAAACAACCCAGACCGCCAGCUAAGGUCCCCAAAUCAACACUAAGUGAUAAAGGAGGUGGGAUUGCAUAGACAACCAGGAGGUUUGCCUAGAAGCAGCCAUCCUCAAAGGAGUGCGUAAUAGCUCACUGGUCGAGCGAUCCUGCGCCGAAAAUGAACGGGGCUAAGUGUUGUACCGAAGCUGCGGAUUUAUGGUAGGGGAGCGUUCUAUGUGGGGCGAAGCGUUAGCGUGAGCGGGCGUGGACUGCAUAGAAGUGAGAAUGUCGGCUUGAGUAGCGAAAACAUGGGUGAGAAUCCCAUGCACCGAAACCCUAAGGGUUCCUCCGGCAGGCUCGUCCGCGGAGGGUUAGUCUGGACCUAAGGCGAGGCCGAAAGGCGUAGUCGAUGGAUAACAGGUCAACAUUCCUGUACCGGUUAUGUUUUGGGAAGAGGGACGGAGAAGGCUAGCCAAGCCAGAUGUUGGUUACUGGUUCAAGCGUUCGAGGCGUUGAGGAGCGGUGAAAACGUUCCGAGCUGAGGCGUGAGUACGAGCUGCUACGGCAGCGAAGUUGGUGACGUCAUGCUUCCAAGAAAAGCUCUAUACCCGUUAAGGCAUAACUGCCAGUACCCGAAACCGACACAGGUGGGGUGGUAGAGAAUACCGAGGUGCGCGAGGUAACUCUCUCUAAGGAACUCGGCAAAAUGGCCCCGUAACUUCGGGAGAAGGGGUGCCGGAUUUAUCCGGCCGCAGCGACCAGGCCCAAGCGACUGUUUACCAAAAACACAGGUCUCCGCUAAAUCGAAAGAUGACGUAUGGGGGCUGACGCCUGCCCAGUGCCGGAAGGUUAAGGAAGCUGGUUAGGAUUACCGAAGCUAGCGACCGAAGCCCCGGUGAACGGCGGCCGUAACUAUAACGGUCCUAAGGUAGCGAAAUUCCUUGUCGGGUAAGUUCCGACCCGCACGAAUGGUGUAAUGAUUUGGAAGCUGUCUCAAGGAGGGACUCGGUGAAAUAGAAAUGCCUGUGAAGAUGCGGGCUACCUGUGCCAGGACAUUAAGACCCUAUGAAGCUUUACUGUAGCCUGAGAUUGGAUUUUGAUUUUAUUUGCGCAGAAUAGGUGGGAGGCUAUGAAGCUGGUCUUGUGGGAUCAGUGGAGUCAUCUUUGAAAUACCACUCUGAUAAAAUUGAAAUUCUAACUUUAUACCGUAAGCCGGUUAAAGAACAGUUUCAGGUGGGCAGUUUGACUGGGGCGGUCGCCUCCUAAAAGGUAACGGAGGCGCACAAAGGUUUCCUCAGAUCGGUCAGAAAUCGAUCUUAGAGUGUAAAGGCAAAAGGAAGCUUGACUGUGAGACAAACAAGUCGAGCAGAGACGAAAGUCGGUCUUAGUGAUCUGACGCUGCUGUGUGGAAAGGGCGUCACUCAACGGAUAAAAGUUACUCUAGGGAUAACAGGCUGAUCUCCCCCAAGAGUUCA